GGGAAUUGCAAUAGACAGAAGCGCACCAUCAUUAUCCUAUUGGAAACAACAAUUUUCCUUUCAUCCCACGCUUCCAAAACUGAAUCCAUUCAUUUCCACUGCACCUUUCCAUUUCCUGCGCACAAACUUAGUGAAGCCAUUCUAGAACUAUGACCCAGCAACUUCGUCCUCUUCUUUAACAUCUCUCACAAGAUUAUCUUGAGCCUCCAGAUUCACCAUCGCCACCAAGUCUCUCCGUCUAAGAUUCAGACUUUCACCCCUUACCCAUCCUUCUUGAGAGAGAGCAUGAGCAGAUGCAUUAGCUGGUCGGGGAAUGAAGUUAAAGAGUCACCUUCAACUACCACCUCUCCUAUACCCAUCUCUACCCCCAACUUGAGAGCCUAAAGGCAUGCAAGGGCUUCAGCCGCGAAAACAAACGGUUUCAUGGUUAGUUCGGAAGGUCUCGAAGUCAACCAAGAAAAGGUAAAAACAAUUCGGGAAUGGCCACGACCCACUAGCAUUAGCCAAGUAAGAAGUUUCAUGGUCUUGUGAGUUUCUAUCGAAGGUUUGUUCCUAACUUUAGUACUUUAGCUGCUCCAUUAACGGGAAUUAUCAAGAAAAGUUCUAAAUUUCAAUGGGGUGAGGAACAAGAGAAAUCUUUUACAAUGAUUAAAGACUGUUUGACAAAUGCACCUUUAUUAUCUUUGCCUAAUUUUACAAAAACUUUCGAGAUUGAGUGUGAUGCUUCAGGAAUAGGGAUUGGAGUCGUUUUCACACAAAAUGGGCGUCCCAUAACCUAUUUUAGUGAGAAAUUGAAUGGUGCCACCCUUAACUAACCAACGCAUGAUAAAGAGAUGUACGCGUUGAUCUGAGCAUUGGAAACUUGGAAACACUACCUUUGGCCCAAGGAGUUUGUGUCACUGAUCAUGAGGCAUUGAAACAUCUCAAGGGGCAAAACAAACUGAACAAGAGACAUGCCAUGUGGGUGGAGUUUCUUGAAUCAUUUCCCUACAUGAUUAAGUUUAAGAAAGGUAAAGAGAAUGUUGUAGUUGAUGCUUUGUCAAGAAGGUCACACUUCUUAAUAACUUAGAUUCUAAAUUACUUUUUUUUUUACGUAUCUAAAAGAGUUUUAUGAAACUGAUGUUGAUUUUGGUAAAGCUUAUAAGGCUUGUGAAAAAGGGGCUUUCAAGAAGUUCUAUAAGCAAGACGGAUACCUCUUUAGAAAAGGUAAGUUGUGUAUCCCUCAAGGAUCCAUUCGGGAAGUACUUGUGAAUAAGGCGCAUAAUGGAGGUCUUAUGGGGCACUUUGGAGUGACCAAGACUUUGGCCAUGCUCCACGAACACUUCUUUUGUCCCAAAAUGAGACGCGGUGUGGAGAGGGUGUGUGACCGAUACAUUGCUUGUAAGAGGGUAAAGUCAGUAUAAAACCCCAUGAAUUGUACACUCCUCUACCCAUUCCUGAAGAACCUUGGGUUGAUAUUUUUAUGGACUUUGUUUUAGGACUUUCUAGAACUAAGAGUGGAAAGGAUUCAAUUUUUGUAGUUAUUGACCGUUUUUCUAAAAUAGCUCACUUUAUUGCUUGCCAUAAAAUUGAUGAUGCUUUGAAUGUAGCAAAUUUGUUUUUCAGGGAAGUAUGAUUACAUGGAGUCCCAAGGACCAUUGUUUCGGAUCAAGAUGCCAAAUUCCUUAGCCAUUUUUGGAGGACUUUGUGGGGCAAGCUUGGCACCAAGUUGCUAUUUUCUACAACGUGCCACCCACAAACGGAUGGCCAAACCGAAGUGGUUAAUCGAGUCUUAUCUACCUUAUUGAGAGCAAUCAUUAGGAAACAUGGGAAGAAUGCUUGCCACAUAUUAAAUUUGCCUACAAUCGAUCAGUCUAUUCGGCCACUAAGCAUUUUCCAUUUGAAGUUCUCUACGGGUUUAAUCCUUUAACUCGUUUAGAUUUAAUUCCCUUACCUACUAAUCAACUGGUGCAUGUAGAUGACAAAUAGAAGGAUGAGUUUGUGAAACAUUUACAUCAAAAAAAAAGGGAAAAUAUAGAGAAGAGAACUAAGCAGUAUGCACACAAAGCCAACAAGGGAUGCAAAUGAGUAGUCUUUGAACCCAGAGAUUGGGUUUGGAUUCACAUGCGAAAGGAGAGAUUCCCCGCUCAAAAAAGGUCUAAGUUGCUACCUCAAGGCGAUGGCCCUUUUCAAGUGUUGGAGAGAAUUAAUGACAAUUCAUACAAACUAGACUUCCCAGGUGAGUAUAAUGUUAGCGCAAGCUUUAAUAUUUCUGAUCUUUCUCCUUAUGAUAUAGGGGAUGAUUUGGGGACAAAUCUCUUCGAAGGGGGAGAGGUUGAUGCGAUCAUGGACAAUGACUCAACCAAAACAGCUUGUGAUCUAAUUGAGCUGCCAAUAAGGCCAAUUACUCGUACAUGAACUAAGAAGUUCAAGGAAGCUGUCACAGGUGUCAUUGAUCGAGUUUGGCCAGAAACUGCUACGAGACUAAUUGAUCAAGCUUGGGCAUGCACUCUAUGCGUCUCAUGCAAUGUGUUUCAAGCAAAGCUUUAAUUUCAGCUUGUUUAAUUCGGCUGCUGGAAUAAGGAUUUUAAUCUAUUUUAUUUAUUUUAGUUAUUUAGUUUGAACAUCAUUAAUAUUUGUCUUUAAUUAAGUCUUAGUUUGAACAUCAUUAAUAUGUGUCUUUUAUUAUGUCUUAGUUUGAACAACAUUAAUAUAUGUUUUAAUUCAAUCUUAAUUCCGACAUCAUAAAUGUUUGUCUAAAUUCAUACAACUUAAAGUGUGUUUAAACUUUGUUUUAUUGUUACAUUUAACCGUGUUUUUAAUAUGUACCAGGUUGUUGACAUUGGCUGUUGCUCAUACAUGUAUAAUUGAAGAUUCAAUGGAUCGUAUUUAUGAAGUUUCAUGCAUUAGGACGUACAUGGAUAUGGAAGGUGCUGAAUACAUUCUUCCAAGCAUCUAUUCGUGAAAAGCUAUGGCAUCAAGUGUGUCCACACUUGACCGAUCAUUUGGUUGCCAAGCUCACACUCAAGGGACGAUUCAAUUUUUGCUGUUCACAUUAGAAGACUCUUCAUGCGACACUAAUAGCAAUAAUGAGUUACAUGCACAUUCAGUUUUUCAAUUCAUCAUCAUUCAAGUUCACUCCUUUUCAACCAUUCAACUCCAUGCACAUUUAGCUAAUCUUCAAGGUCCAAUGAAUUGCAAUAUGAUCAAAAGCCGAUUGUAUUCUAUGCCUAUUCGGCUGGUAUUUUGUGUAGCCUAUAAAUUCUAGGCUUGAAAUUCUUUGGUAAGACCUUUGAUGAAUUUUUAUAAUAUAGUGAGUGUUCAACUCUCUUUGUUC